CCGACGUAAUGUACCCUAGUCCAGGACUAGAGACUUGUAUGUUAAAUGGAAAAUCAGAGUAUAUUGUACAAAAGGUGAACUGGAAAUGUUGUUUUAACGUAGUCGAGCGCGGGGCGGCGAGCGAAAUGGUCGAAAUCGAAGUCUUUUUUAAUACUGCUGUUCUGGCAAGCAAGUUAAUUUUGGCGUGGAAAUAAGUGUGAAAGAAACCAAUUAUUUAAUAUCUUUACAACAUUUACCGUUAUUCAUUUGUGUCAUUCGGACUUAUUUCCGAGUCAAAACUGAACUGAAGGUCAUCGGACAUAUGUCCGACCCAAACUCAACGUCACCGGACAUUAUGUCAGACGGCCCUGGAAAAGAUAUUUUAAGGCCUGAUGUCGUCAACUCGGAUCGAAGAAUUGACCUAAAUUUUUCAUGUCUUUUAGUCGAAACUGAACGGCAAGUGGGAAGGCUUAAGAAAGAUCUAAAAGAUGUAAAUGAGGUUUGUAUACAGUAGUUUACAAUCCUGUAGUACAUGUACGUUUGUAUAAUUAUAGGUCACUUUCAUAAUUGAAAUGGUUUUAAAUAUUCUUUUAUAUGCAUUUUUAAUAAGCCUUCUUGGCCGUGUUCUGUUUCUGACGAAGUCUUUUUAAUUAAAAGAAGAUUUAAAACCAUUUCAAUUAAGGAAGUCAUCUGUGUAGCGUUCUGUUCCAGUUCACUAGAAAGGUGUAGUGAGAUGGUUACUUCGAAAAUACAUGCAUUCCACUAUUUUGAGCGAGGACAAAGAGUAUGUUUUGAGUGCUUGACAAUGUAAAACACUACGUUUUAUUAUACACUAACACAUAUUAUUCACCAAUUUUAGGAGAAGAGGGCACUGCAAACGAGAAAUAAAUAUCUUCUUGAUGAAAAUGCUGUGCUUUUACUGGACGCUCAAAACAGGUAAC